rnacentral:rRNA from 1 species
CGAGUGGCGAACGGGUGAGUAAUGUAUCGGAACGUGCCCAGUAGUGGGGGAUAACUACUCGAAAGAGUGGCUAAUACCGCAUGAGAACUGAGGUUGAAAGCGGGGACCUUCGGGCCUCGCGCUACUGGAGCGGCCGAUAUCAGAUUAGGUAGUUGGUGGGGUAAAGGCCUACCAAGGCGACGAUCCGUAGCUGGUCUGAGAGGACGACCAGCCACACUGGAACUGAGACACGGUCCAGACUCCUACGGGAGGCAGCAGUGGGGAAUUUUGGACAAUGGGGCAACCCUGAUCCAGCCAUUCCGCGUGAGUGAAGAAGGCCUUCGGGUUGUAAAGCUCUUUCGGCAGGAACGAAACGGUGGUCCCUAAUACGGAUUGCUAAUGACGGUACCUGAAGAAGAAGCACCGGCUAACUACGUG